CUGCCGCAUCCCCGACGCGUAUUAGGUCACCCUCGACACCCCCGGAACAUUAGCCCCCUCAUUUUCUUCCUCCUCGAGCCGCUCCGCUCGAUUUGCUCGAUCAUGAAUGACAUCGCCACCACUGCCUCGUCGCCGUCAUGGCCAAAGGCCUCAUUGCUGACCAGGAAGACGCCAAGAGAAGUGUAGUCGUCGUCUUCGUCGACUACACCACCAGAUGGGGGCGGAGGAGCUGCAGCAACAGCGCCCGCACCCGUUUUCCCCCGCUGGAAUAUGCCUCGGCCGCGACCUCAAUCCGCCGUCGACCGAGCCUCACCGCCCCCUUGACCUCCUCCGGCUGCCCCGGGUCGCUCCUCGUCACCGAUACCCCGAGACUGAUGUUGCCCCUGUGAUCGACUACGUCGACGAUGACACUUCUUCCUUUUUAGCAGAGCUUCCAGGCAAGCCCCCCCCUUUGAUCAUCCCGAUAUCUACCAUUCUAUACUCUCAUGCUUGCAUUAGAUUAUUCUACUAUU
rnacentral:rRNA from 1 species